CACACACAGGCGAGCCUACAGGGCAGUUUUUGUGAGCGGUGGGGGCUGCGGCUGAUUCUCUAGUUGACCACUGAUGCUGGUGUGCUCGGGAUCCCGGUGAUAGAGAUGUGGAUGAAACAUUCCGUGCAUGUUCAACAGAAGUGCCUGUUUUCCAAGCUGAUAGAGUAUAUUUGCAUAGAAGAGGCAUUAAAAAGAGUUCCAAAUGCAGAUUCAGAAUAAAAGUUGGGGGAGAAGUACAGAGAAGUCCUAAGCGAGUCUGAAGGUUUGUUCAGAUGUGGAAAGGACCACUGCAGGAUAUCAAGAUGAGUCUUUGUCUGGGGAUUCUGGCAGGCUAAACUAUGUCAGAAAUUGGAAGGAAGCCAAUUUCCUGUCAGAACCAGGAAAACCAGUUCAUCCCAGGAGCCCAGCCUGUAACAGAGGAGGCUCCUUCCUUCUUCUAAUGGUGCUUGCGUCGCAUUAUGAGUGUUGGCUGACUUCUUCUACCAUUAAGGACUGAGCCCCUACAUCCUCAGUUCUGAGAGCUGGCUGUAGAAGAAGUAAUAACUCCUCAUCAGAGUAUUAUUUGGAGGUAAACUUGAAGAAGGGAAGCGGA
rnacentral:lncRNA from 1 species